UUCACGGAGAGUUUGAUCCUGGCUCAGGACGAACGCUGGCGGCGUGCUUAACACAUGCAAGUCGAACGAUGAACCCACUUCGGUGGGGGAUUAGUGGCGAACGGGUGAGUAACACGUGGGCAAUCUGCCCUUCACUCUGGGACAAGCCCUGGAAACGGGGUCUAAUACCGGAUACGACCACUUCAGGCAUCUGAUGGUGGUGGAAAGCUCCGGCGGUGAAGGAUGAGCCCGCGGCCUAUCAGCUUGUUGGUGGGGUAAUGGCCCACCAAGGCGACGACGGGUA
rnacentral:ncRNA from 1 species